rnacentral:rRNA from 1 species
AGAGCGAACGCUGGCGGCAGGCCUAACACAUGCAAGUCGAGCGCCCCGCAAGGGGAGCGGCAGACGGGAGAGUAACACGUGGGAACGUACCCUUUGGUUCGGAACAACACAGGGAAACUUGUGCUAAUACCGGAUAAGCCCUUACGGGGAAAGAUUUAUUGCCAAAGGAUCGGCCCGCGUCUGAUUAGCUUGUUGGUGAGGUAACGGCUCACCAAGGCUACGAUCAGUAGCUGGUCUGAGAGGAUGAUCAGCCUCACUGGGACUGAGACACGGCCCAGACUCCUACGGGAGGCAGCAGUGGGGAAUAUUGGACAAUGGGCGCAAGCCUGAUCCAGCCAUGCCGCGUGAGUGAUGAAGGCCUUAGGGUUGUAAAGCUCUUUCGCACGCGACGAUAAUGACGGUAGCGUGAGAAGAAGCCCGGCUAACUUCGUGCCAGCAGCCGC